AUAUCAAGUUCAGAAGAUUUUUUUCUAGGUUUUUGACAUGGUGUUCUUGUGAUCAUUGGAUCAAAGUUUUGAAUAACUUAAAAGUAGAAAAGUACAUUAAAAACCGAAUUCAGGAGAGGAAUUUUGAACUGUAUAAUAGUCCAUGGAAUUCUAGGGACAUGGAAGACUCACACUCUUUUCCCGUGGUUUUCUUUUCCUUCCACCUUGAGUGCUAAUAUUUAUACUUUGAUUGAACUAGGUAAAUCUUCUCUCUGAUGUUAAUCUAACUUUGUUAUUGUUCAUCCUUAGUCAUUACUCAUUACCUUCAUCAUCAUCUUAUAAAGAGAAAUAUUGAAUGUCAUCGGAGAACUAAUAGUUAAUUUUGAGAAGUUUUGUGAGUAAAAAAUUAAUUAAUUUGAUCAAAUGGGCUCUUCAAAUAUUCUUUGACAUCAGCUUUUCUCAUUAUAAUAAGGAUCGUAUUAUUAAUCAAUAUAUGAUAAUAUUGUUAUUACUAUGAAGAUCAUGAUACUAAAUUUGAGGCCAUGUUAUAGGUGUUUUUUAAAAUCAUGCCAGCUUGUUGUUGUAUACCCAGUUGUCGGAAUGGGUAUAAAAAAACCUAAGGAUCUUACCGUUUCUCUUCACUCCGUCGCAGAAAGAUAUUUCUUAAAAAGUGCCUGGCUUAGAGCCAUACCUAGGAAAACUGACGGAGCUUAUGUACCUUCUAAGUAUUCAAGAGUUUGUUCCCUCCAUUUUCAAGAUAAGGAUUUUGUUACAGAGAGUCAAGAUGAUCGUCGGAAGAGUCGAAAGAAGUAGUUGUCGUCUAAUGAUCCUAAACACCAGAGCCGUUAUUUAAAACCGUCUGCUCCUCCAAGAAUUUUUCCUAAUCUUUCAAAAUAUUUAUCUACGGAAAAACAACAACGAAAGCUUCAUCAUCAGCAAAGGCAAUCUGCUGAAAAUUUAUGCCUUAUCCAAGCAGAAGAAAAGUUAUUAAAAAUGGAUCUUGUAGACCAUUUUGAGGACUUAUGUUUCAAAUUGGUCAUUGAACAACUUCCAGAAAAUAUAUUUUCUAAUAGAACAGAGGACUACAUUCAACUUUACUGCUUGGAAGAUUCAUCCAAAGUAUUCCUUGAAAUAAAAUUCACUAUGAGCAUUGAAAUGGAUCUUACAUUCUCAAUUUUUAACAAAAAUAUCAGAAUGAAUCCUAAAAUGAUUCAGCAUAGAACGAUAAAAAAACGAUUGCUUCCUUAAACAAGCUUCAAAAUAUACUAGCCCGUAUAUUUACCGAAUCUUUGGGCUAAGUGUUGAAAGAUGAAAAGCUAAUAACGCUCUGCUUAAAACAUUUCUUAUUUCAUUGUUUAGUUUAAAAUUUAAUCAUUAUCGUGAUAAGAGAUGUAAAAAAGUAUUAAAGUAUACUCUUUCAGUAACUAAACUCCACAACCCACCAAAAGUUUGCUCAAAUGAGCUUACUUGGCUUUAAUUAAAAUGAUAAUUAAAGUAACUGUAGUAAGAAAAUUAAUAUUUUUCUAUAAUAUGGCUAUUAAGAUAUAUUUGUGAUAGAAAAAAGGAAAAUCGAAGGGGAAGGAAUCUUCAGCGAACUCAAACUAAAAAUUGUUUUAGUAUUCCUUGAUCUAAUAAAUAAUGAAUAAUGAGUAUGAAGUAAAAAAUCUAUAGUAUGGCCCUUUGAAUAUAUAUACGGAGCAUUUUAAAAUCACAUAACUUACUCAUUUGAAAAUUCUGGAAGCAAAUUUUUCAUGUAAAUUUUCGGAAAUUUACCGGAAACUGACCACCCCUAUACAAUUCUAGUACUAUACUCUAUAUUUGGGAUGUUUUUACCUUGUAAUUAAUGACUAACUUAGCGAAAGAAUUAGUUGUUAAUUUUGCUUUUAUAAUGUCAAGUCGUAAGUUUAGUAAAUAAUUAAUUAUUAUUUUUACCGUAGCUCCAAGGAGAGGGAGCUAAGGGGCAUGGAAUAGUCAAUAUAGUAAGUGAGUGCUAAACAUGUCUACAUAAAUAUAUAGAACAAAAUGCAAUAAGAUAUUAAAUUACAAUUGUUUCAAAUAGAUGUGAUUAUCAGUGAUAAUCACAUCAGUAUUUUAAACAAUGAUACCAUGUGUCUUUCUCCCACCUGUCUCCUCGCACGCAUUUUUCUCUACAAUAUUAUCAACUAUAGGUAUAACUUUGCUCAAGGAUGUAUCUACUAUAUGGAUGACGAAUCCAAAACGUGCAACUCAGAGUGUGGCCUACCGUGCAUUCAAUAAUAUAAACUUUAGAACUAUUAAAAUAAGGGAUACUUCAAAUAGACAAUAAAGGAGAUAACCCUCCCUAGUGCUGUUGUCUGGGUGAGGUAUUGAGGUCUGGAGCAUACCCCAAAAAAGGCGUUAAGUGUGGAAAUCCGUCUCAGCUGGGUGGUUGUCAACCGAUACAGCAACAUCAAUGAACCUGAUUUGAUAAAAGAGUCUUCAGGAUGGGAGUGUAUUGAUUAUAUAUGAAUUCUGCAUUCAUUUUUGCCACUGGGACGAGUGCAACCACAUUCAUAUACUUUCCUCCAGCAGGCUUGACAUGAAUGUGAGAUAUGUUUUGGUCAUUUGAUUAUCCUAACAACCAAGGCACUUGCCUCUCACAAACUCAUCUCUUUCUGCUGAGUACACCUCAUCAAUAAUGAGAGUAACAUUGAGUUCUCUGCUAUUCAAUCAAUACACUUGACAGAGCUCUGAGAUGCUUGGGAAAAGGAAUUGUAAGAAGAUUCCAACUAUAUAUUUGAUUAUAGAGGGCUGUGCUCACGUUUUGCCGCAGGAAACCAACAGAGAGAAGACCUAGUAAGUAUCUCCUAGCGUUCGGGCUCUUGAAGAGUAGCGUCAUCUGCUCCAUGAUAAAAGCGAGCUUUAAUAAUUGAGCUGGUUCCAAGUCUGAGGAUUCUAAUAGUCUAUGUAAGAGGGUGAUGAUAACUUAAUACACUUCAUUGUUCUUCAAUUCCUCCUUGAUCCAAUAUAUGCAACUAUGUUGAUUACUUCUGUAACAGAUUUAAUCUUCCCAAGCAUUAAGCAAAGUAGCGCAUCGAAGGCUAAUGUCAUUAUUAGCCAAAAAAAUAUCUUGGUCAAAAUUUACAUACUUUGUCUACUAGGGGUAUUUUUAUUUCAAGCAUUUUGGAGAAUCCUUUCCUGAUCUCUCGUGAAUAAGUCAAGUACUGUAUUGUUUCUACUUUUUAUUUGCGUCAUUAUUCAUAUACUUUUGCUUGAACAAUUAUGGAAAGGGAAUUAUGAUUCAAAAUGAUUUUCACAAUCAGAAUGAUCAGUAGGUUUCCAAUUUGGAAGAUAUUUAAGAUUUGAUACCCUUUUUUUUUUUCUUACGACUUCUUUUGGAUUUUUGG
rnacentral:lncRNA from 1 species